rnacentral:rRNA from 1 species
AGCGGCGAGCGGACGGGGAGCAGCCCAGAGCCUGAAUCAGUGUGUGUGUUAGUGGAAGCGUCUGGAAAGGCGUGCGAUACAGGGUGACAGCCCCGUACACAAAAAUGCACAUAUUGUGAGCUUGAUGAGUAGGGCGGGACACGUGGUAUCCUGUCUGAAUAUGGGGGGACCAUCCUCCAAGGCUAAAUACUCCUGACUGACCGAUAGUGAACCAGUACCGUGAGGGAAAGGCGAAAAGAACCCCGGCGAGGGGAGUGAAAAAGAACCUGAAACCGUGUACGUACAAGCAGUGGGAGCACGCUUAGGCGUGUGACUGCGUACCUUUUGUAUAAUGGGUCAGCGACUUAUAUUCUGUAGCAAGGUUAACCGAAUAGGGGAGCCGAAGGGAAACCGAGUCUUAACUGGGCGUUAAGUUGCAGGGUAUAGACCCGAAACCCGGUGAUCUAGCCAUGGGCAGGUUGAAGGUUGGGUAACACUAACUGGAGGACCGAACCGACUAAUGUUGAAAAAUUAGCGGAUGACUUGUGGCUGGGGGUGAAAGGCCAAUCAAACCGGGAGAUAGCUGGUUCUCCCCGAAAGCUAUUUAGGUAGCGCCUCGUGAAUUCAUCUCCGGGGGUAGAGCACUGUUUCGGCA